rnacentral:lncRNA from 1 species
AAAUGCCAAAGGAUAUAACCAACACCAAAGGCCAAAAGACCACUUUCACCUGAGAAAACUUGGCAAGAUCAGACUCCUCCCCCAAAUAUGAAAAAUACCUUUGGUGUGAACCAUAGGAAACACACACACACACAAAAACAUGAAAUAUGUGCUCAUUCAUGGGGAGUACAUUCAUGGGACAAGUAGCUUAUAUGCACAACUCAACACUCUCAGUCCUGCCAAAGACAAGAUAGAAAGUCAAUAGGGCAAAGAAAUGCUGGUGUGGCAAAGAAGAAAUUGAAGGAUACACAAAUCAUGCCAUGCCCCUCUGCUGUUUUCUAGAUGGCAGCUACAUAGUCAUUGCAUUUAGUCAAUGUAAAAGUAAAACAGAGGAAAAUAAACGAUUGUUUGAACCCCAGGACCAAGCAUCUACCAAUUGUGUCCAAUUUUAUAUUCAUGCAAGUUUGGAAGAAAAAGAAAAGGGUUCUGAAAUGUAGAAAAUUCACAAAGAGGGGAACAAACUGUUGUCUGUGGCUUCAAGGGAGAACUCAUCAGGGACUCUGAGGAAGGAUGGCAGGUUUUGUUCCUUCAUAGAGAGUGACCACUGGAAACA